AACAAUAGAGUAGGGACAACCUUUCCACCAUGUUUUUGUCCACGACAUAACCCUUAACAAGUGCAGGUCCCACACAUGCUCAUAAACAAAUUCCUUUUGGUUAAAAACCAAAUCAUUACGGGCUAGCCAAAUUGACCAGACCACAGCACAUGGGUUUCAUAAUAACAUAACAAAUCCACAAAGAGUGAAGAAAACUUCGUCCAAAAUAUAGAUUAUUUUCUAAUGGCUCUGCUCAAAAUUGCUUCACUCCCAUUCAGCUUUACUAAAAUAUCUUUUCCUCGUGAAACAAUGUCUUCAUCCCUAGCAACCAGGAGCUUCAAUAAUAAGUUCAAGUCAUCAUAUAAAGUUUAUAAUAGUAGUCAAAUAAUUCAUCGUCGACGAUCUACAAAUUACCAACCUUCAAUUUGGACUUAUAAAUAUAGGCUUAAAUAACGCUUUGAUCCUUGAAAUUGUAAAGGGAAUCAAAUCUGGUCCUUGUAAAAUUUUAGCAUCAAAUUGGGUCUCAAAAAUUGUUUUUUUAAUCUAAUUAACUCCUUUUGCUCAAUUUUGACCGGUCAACGGUCCAGUGGCAAGCUUAGUCAGCUAAGGACGGCCACGUGGACUUUUUCACAUCAAUUUUAGUCCCUUGAAAAGUAUUUUAAUCAAUUUUAGUCCCUGUUCUUCCACCUUCAUCUUCUUCCUCUUCCACCUUCAUCUUCUUCCUCUAUAACUCAAAUCCCAUAAAUUCAAAAGGAAGAACAAGUGAAUGUGAUGAACAUAUAGUUUUUUUAGGGUUUUGAAUUUCUAGAUUUAAGGAUUUGAGUUAUGGAGGAAGAGGAAGAAGGUGGAAGAACAAGGACUAAAAUUGAUUAAAAUAUUUUUUAAAGGACUAAAAUUGAUGUGAAAAAAAUUCAUGUGGCCAUCCUUAGCUGACUAGGCUUUCCACUGGACCGUUGAAUAGUCAAAAUUGAGCAAAAGGAUUUAAUUAGAUUAAAAAAACAAUUUUAGGGACCCAAUUUGAUGUGAAAAUUUUACAGGGAUCAGAUUUGAUUCCCUUUACAAUUUUAAGGACCAAAAGAGUAUUUAAGCCAUAAAUAUACCCAAUCAUUAAGUACUGAGUAUAAGGUAUGCCUAGCUAUUUUAUUUUUUUUCAUGUUUGUCAAUUUUGAAACCCCUAUGCAAUAUAUUACAAGUGCUUCUCUACAAUGUUCAGUCUAAUAUCUUCUUGUUAAAUUAAUUAAUGCAGGAAAAAUAUUACAUGGAGCAAGUCAUAGUGCUAAGGGAAAAAGUGAGGACGAUGCUUUGUAAAGUUGAAGAUGAGCUUGAUCAACUUGAGAUUAUUGAUGUGUUGCAAAGGCUUGGGGUGGACCAUCAUUAUGACAAUGAAAUAAGAAAUUUCUUGGACAAUAUACACAGCACAAAUACCUUGAAUGUGGAGAAGAACUUGUAUGCCAUGGCACUCAAAUUUAGACUCUUAAGGCAGUAUGGGUAUAAUAUAUCUUCAGGUUAGUACUCGAUUCAGAGAUUGAACUAAAGAAAUUUAUAGUAAUAUAAAAGGGUGUGUCUAUCUUUGUGAUUUCUUAUUAUUAUUGUUGCUAAUAUUGCAGAUAUUUUUAUUCACUUUAAAGAUGAGAAGGGUAAUUUCAAUAAAGGCCAAUCUCUUGAUGUGGAAGGAAUGCUAUCAUUAUAUGAAGCCUCAUUUAAUUCAUUGGAAAAUGAAACUAUAUUAGAUGAAGCAAUAGAUUUUACCUCCGAAUUUCUGGAAGAAUAUUUGAACCAGGACAACGACAACCAUAUAUCACUUCUAAUCAAUCAUGCCUUGGAGUUGCCGUUACAUUGGAGGAAUCCUAAGUGGGAGACUCAAUGGUUCAUUAAUAU
rnacentral:lncRNA from 1 species